UACGUAGGGUGCGAGCGUUGUCCGGAAUUAUUGGGCGUAAAGAGCUCGUAGGCGGUCUGUCGCGUCGGUCGUGAAAACUUGGGGCUUAACCCUGAGCUUGCGGUCGAUACGGGCAUGACUGGAGUUCGGCAGGGGAGACUGGAAUUCCUGGUGUAGCGGUGAAAUGCGCAGAUAUCAGGAGGAACACCAAUAGCGAAGGCAGCUCGCUGGGACGGUACUGACGCUAAGGCGCGAAAGCGUGGGGAGCAAACAGG
rnacentral:rRNA from 1 species